rnacentral:rRNA from 1 species
UACGUAGGGUGCAAGCGUUAAUCGGAAUUACUGGGCGUAAAGCGUGCGCAGGCGGUUUGGUAAGACAGAUGUGAAAUCCCCGGGCUCAACCUGGGAAUUGCAUUUGUGACUGCCCGACUAGAGUGUGUCAGAGGGGGGUAGAAUUCCACGUGUAGCAGUGAAAUGCGUAGAGAUGUGGAGGAAUACCGAUGGCGAAGGCAGCCCCCUGGGAUAACACUGACGCUGAGGUGCGAAAGCGUGGGGAGCAAACAGG